ACUCAAAUGAAUUGACGGGGGCCCGCACAAGCGGUGGAGCAUGUGGUUUAAUUCGAUGCAACGCGAAGAACCUUACCGGGGAUUGACAUUUGGCGCAUUUUUUGGAAACGAAAAAGUUUAAACGCUUAAACAGGUGGUGCAUGGCUGUCGUCAGCUCGUGUCGUGAGACGUAAGGUUAAGUCCUGUAACGAGCGCAACCCUUAUUGUUAGUAGCUUUUAGGAAACUAGCGAGACUGCCAGUUUUAAGCUGGAGGAAGGUGAGGAUGACGUCAAGUCAGCAUGCCCCUUAAAUCCCGGGCUACACACGUGCUACAAUGGUUGGGACAAAAAGAAGCUAACUCGUGAGAGCACGCAAACCUUAAAAACCCAAUCUCAGUUCGGAUUGAAGGCUGCAACUCGCCUUCAUGAAGCCGGAAUCGCUAGUAAUCGCAGGUCAGCCAUACUGCGGUGAAUACGUUCCCGGGCCUUGUACACACCGCCCGU
rnacentral:rRNA from 1 species